rnacentral:rRNA from 1 species
GAUCAAGUGAAAGAAGGGCAUCUGGUGGAUGCCUAGGCGCUGAGAGGCGAUGAAGGACGUGGUACGCUGCGAUAAGCGUCGGGGAGCUGCGAACAAGCUUUGAUCCGACGAUCUCCGAAUGGGGAAACCCACCUUCGACGGCUGAAGUUGCAAGUCCGGGAGCGAUCCCGGUCUUGGAUCUUCAGUUGUCACAUGAAGGUAUCUGCCCCUGAAUAAAAUAGGGGGUUAGAGGCGAACCCGGGGAACUGAAACAUCUAAGUACCCGGAGGAAAGGACAUCAACCGAGACUCCGCUAGUAGUGGCGAGCGAACGCGGACCAGGCCAGUGCCUCACAGUUUUUAACCGGAACCGUCUGGAAAGGCGGGCAUCAAUGGGUGAUAGCCCCGUACGGGUAAUGGAACUGCGAGGACUUGAGUAGGGCGGGACACGUGAAAUCCUGUCUGAACAUGGGGGGCCCACCCUCCAAGCCUAAGUACUCCUCAGCGACCGAUAGUGAACCAGUACCGUGAGGGAAAGGUGAAAAGCACCCCGACGAGGGGAGUGAAACAGUUCCUGAAACCGGAUGCCUACAAACAGUAGGAGCCCAAGGUUCGUCCUGGGUGACUGCGUACCUUUUGUAUAAUGGGUCAGCGACUUAGUUUAACGAGCAAGCUUAAGCCGGUAGGUGUAGGCGUAGCGAAAGCGAGUCUGAAUAGGGCGUCAAGUUCGUUGAAUUAGACCCGAAACGAGGUGAUCUAGCCAUGACCAGGCUGAAGGUGCGGUAACACGCACUGAAGGGCCGAACCCACGUCUGUUGAAAAAGCCGGGGAUGAGUUGUGGCUAGGGGUGAAAGGCCAAUCAAACCUCGAAAUAGCUGGUUCUCCGCGAAAUCUAUUUAGGUAGAGCGUCGAACGAAUACCCCUGGGGGUAGAGCACUGGAUGGGCAAGGGGGACCUACAGUCUUACCGAUCCCAACCAAACUCCGAAUACCAGGGAGUACUAUUCGGCAGUCACACGGCGGGUGCUAACGUCCGUCGUGAAGAGGGAAACAACCCUGACCGCCAGCUAAGGUCCCCAAGUGACGGCUAAGUGUGAAACGAUGUGAGAAUCCCAAAACAACCAGGAUGUUGGCUUAGAAGCAGCCAUCAUUUAAAGAAAGCGUAACAGCUCACUGGUCUAAACAAGGGUUCUUGCGCGGACAAUGUAACGGGGCUCAAGCCGUCCACCGAAGCUGCGGGUGUGAUCCUUACGGAUCACGCGGUAGCGGAGCGUUCCGUAGGCCUGUGAAGCGGUAGCCGUGAGGCGCCGUGGAGGUAUCGGAAGUGAGAAUGCUGACAUGAGUAACGAGAAAGGGUGUGAGAGACACCCUCGCCGAAAGUCCAAGGGUUCCUGCGUAAAGCUAAUCUGCGCAGGGUUAGUCGACCCCUAAGGCGAGGCCGAAAGGCGUAGUCGAUGGGAAUCAGGUGAAUAUUCCUGAACCAGUGGGUGGUGACGGAUGGCUUGUGUUGUAGGUCCUUACUGGAUUGGACCUGCUUCGACGCUGUUCCAGGAAAUAGCCCCCACAUCAGAUCGUACCCGAAACCGACACAGGUGGACUGGUAGAGUAUACCAAGGCGUUUGAGCGAACUGUGCUGAAGGAACUCGGCAAAUUGCCUCCGUAACUUCGGGAGAAGGAGGCCUUCAUAUCGGGCAACCGGUAUGGAGGGGCACAGACCAGGGGGUGGCGACUGUUUAGCAAAAACACAGGGCUCUGCGAAGCCGUAAGGCGACGUAUAGGGUCUGACGCCUGCCCGGUGCCGGAAGGUUAAAAGGAGGGGUGCAAGCUCCGAAUUGAAGCCCCGGUAAACGGCGGCCGUAACUAUAACGGUCCUAAGGUAGCGAAAUUCCUUGUCGGGUAAGUUCCGACCUGCACGAAUGGCGUAACGACUUCCCCGCUGUCUCCAGCACAGGCUCAGUGAAAUUGAAUUCCCCGUGAAGAUGCGGGGUUCCUGCGGUCAGACGGAAAGACCCCGUGCACCUUUACUAUAGCUUCACACUGGCAUUCGUGUCGGCAUGUGUAGGAUAGGUGGUAGGCUUUGAAGCGCAGGCGUCAGCUUGCGUGGAGCCAUCCUUGAAAUACCACCCUUAUCGUCAUGACUGUCUAACCGCGGCCCUUGUAGCAGGGUCCGGGACAGUGUGUGGUGGGUAGUUUGACUGGGGCGGUCGCCUCCCAAAGAGUAACGGAGGCGCGCGAAGGUAGGCUCAGAACGGUCGGAAAUCGUUCGGCGAGUGCAAUGGCAUAAGCCUGCCUGACUGCGAGACUGACACGUCGAGCAGAGACGAAAGUCGGCCAUAGUGAUCCGGUGGUCCCUCGUGGAAGGGCCAUCGCUCAACGGAUAAAAGGUACGCCGGGGAUAACAGGCUGAUGAUGCCCAAGAGUCCAUAUCGACGGCAUCGUUUGGCACCUCGAUGUCGACUCAUCACAUCCUGGGGCUGGAGAAGGUCCCAAGGGUUCGGCUGUUCGCCGAUUAAAGUGGUACGUGAGUUGGGUUCAGAACGUCGUGAGACAGUUCGGUCCCUAUCUGCCGUGGGUGUAGGAGUAUUGAGAGGAUCUGUCCCUAGUACGAGAGGACCGGGAUGGACGCACCUCUGGUGGACCUGUUGUGGCGCCAGCCGCAUUGCAGGGUAGCUAAGUGCGGACUAGAUAACCGCUGAAGGCAUCUAAGCGGGAAACUAACCUCAAAACGAGUCCUCCCUAUCAGAGCCGUGGUAGACCACCACGUCGAUAGGCCGGGUGUGGAAGCAUGGCAACAUGUGAAGCUUACCGGUACUAAUAGCUCGACCGGCUUCAUCGC